rnacentral:rRNA from 1 species
CUGCUCAGGAUGAACGCUAGCGGCAGGCCUAACACAUGCAAGUCGAACGGUAACAGGAAAGAGCUUGCUCUUUUGCUGACGAGUGGCGCACGGGUGCGUAACGCGUAUACAAUCUACCUUUUACAGGGGGAUAGCCUUUAGAAAUGAAGAAUAAUACCCCAUAGUAAGUGAUUUUCGCAUGGAAGACACUUUAAAGUUUCGGCGGUAAAAGAUGAGUAUGCGUUCUAUUAGCUAGAUGGUGUGGUAACGGCACACCAUGGCGACGAUAGAUAGGGGCCCUGAGAGGGGGAUCCCCCACACUGGUACUGAGACACGGACCAGACUCCUACGGGAGGCAGCAGUGAGGAAUAUUGGACAAUGGGCGAGAGCCUGAUCCAGCCAUGCCGCGUGCAGGAAGACUGCCCUAUGGGUUGUAAACUGCUUUUAUACAGGAAGAAACCCACCUACGUGUAGGUGGCUGACGGUACUGUAAGAAUAAGGAUCGGCUAACUCCGUGCCAGCAGCCGCGGUAAUACGGAGGAUCCAAGCGUUAUCCGGAAUCAUUGGGUUUAAAGGGUCCGUAGGUGGAUAAUUAAGUCAGAGGUGAAAUCCUGCAGCUCAACUGUAGAAUUGCCUUUGAUACUGGUUAUCUUGAAUUAUUGUGAAGUGGUUAGAAUAUGUAGUGUAGCGGUGAAAUGCAUAGAUAUUACAUAGAAUACCAAUUGCGAAGGCAGAUCACUAACAAUAUAUUGACACUGAUGGACGAAAGCGUGGGGAGCGAACAGGAUUAGAUA